rnacentral:lncRNA from 1 species
AGAAAACAGAGGCUCAGGGAUGGGAAGUCACUUGCCUGUGAUCACAUGACAGAUGAGCAAUCAGGAUGGGAUUUAAGCCAGGUCAUACUGUUUCCAAAGGAUUUGGUAAAUCUCCAAACUUACUGCCUUAGUUUGGGUUCUCCAGGAAACAGACUCAGAAAGAGCUUGAGUGUAGGUAGUUUUUGUGGGGGGUGAUCUCAGGAGGCAGGAGUGAAGGAGCUGGGAGAGCAAGGCAAGAAGGUAGGAAACACCAGCAUAAGGGUGCUUGCUGUGGUUUCAGGUCUUAACUCUGCAGGAUCUCUUAGAGACCAGGGCAGUUACUACCACCAGCGUCAGUCCCUGCCUGGUUGAAUGUGCUCGUAAGGGUGUUAAUUCUCUUCCACUUUCAGGAUGUGUCUGAAGAGGGCUGAGUAGACUCCAGAGAAUCUGAAAAAGACUUUGAGUCAAAAAGCAGAAAGAAGCUUAGCAAAUGCAUGAAAUAGGUGCCGUCAGCAUGAGUCUCAUGAACCGGACUCCACAGCUGCAGCUGAGUGUGUAGGUGGCCUGAGGGAUGCGGUGCCGGCCACUGACACCAACAACUCUGUUACACUUAUUCUAGCUCAAGUUCUUUUUCCUCCUUCUUCACCAUGACCUUGUGAGUUAGGAGAUCAGUUUUCAACUUUCUAGCUGGAAAGGUUGAGGCUGUGAAUUGUCAAUGACUUGCCAGAAGGCACACAGUAAACAGUGCCCUUGGGACCUCUGUUUAGAGGAAGAGCUUCACAUUUAGCUUGCUUUCUAUUGUGACUCACUCUGUUCAACUAAGUUAUGAACAAGCCUCGAUGCACAAGGAUGAAAGAAAUCAGAUUUGAGAAAGCCCAGUCUUCACCCAUGGACAGCUGAGAAAGGCAUGAGACAGGAAUAUUAUAAUUCAUCUAUAAGAAAGUGCUCAUCUAAAGAAGAAAAUGCUAGCCAGACUUCCUCUGAGACACAGCCAGCAUGGCUACUGCUGGACACCAAGAAUAUGAAGAUGAACGAAUGUCAUCUCUGAUCACUAAGAGUUGAUGACCCAGAGUGGGAGAAGAAAGAUAAACAACUCACAGUAUCAACCCACAUCUCCUGGGAUCCUCCUCCUUCCCCUGGCCAUAAUAAUCCUCUCCCUUCAUAUUUUUUUAAAAGAAGAGAGAGAAGAGGGAGAAGCAUUUUGGUUACAUUCAUUCCUCAAGCACUUUUUUCAGCCCCAGAAACCUAAAUGAUGGAAAUUCUCAGACACAAUCAUUGGCUCCAUUCCCACAUCCAAGGACAAUGCCCUCCACAACCCCCGUUUUUUUACAUACCUUGUCUAAGACUGAAAUCAGAGGCUCCUUCUGUGAUAAGAAUCAAAGUUACAACCUUUAUGUAUGCAGGUUGUUUAUAAUAAGGCAAAGGAAAAUAAAACCUAAGUAUUCUCAGCCUCUUCACCUGCUCUUUCAAAGAAAUCUGGAGUUGUCACUUCCCUUCACAGCUCCCCCAGCCCCUGGCGCUCUCCUUCCUGGCUCCUGUUUUGAAGAUCAGGGGAAGAGAACAUUCUCCUAAGGACAGCAGGGUAUCCAUUGAUAUAAGAAGGGAAAUCCAGAGGUGAGGGGACAGUGAACCAAUGAUACAGCACAAGGAGGACCCUGCAGGACAAAAGACCAUUAGUAUUAAGUGUUUCCUUGUUUGAGGAGUUCAGAAAGAGGAGAAAAAUCCUGAAAGAGAAACUGCCAAGGAUAUAGAAAAUACUGAAAAUGAUGGUUAUAGGGAAACAGAUUUUUUUGUUUGUUUUUUGACGGAGUCUUGCUGUCGCCCAGGCUGGAGCACAGUGGCAGGAUCUCAGCACAUGGCAGCCUCCACCUCUCAGGUACAAGCAAUUCUCCUGCCUCAGCCUCCUGAAUAGCUGGGAUUACAGGUGCCUGCCACCAUGCCCAGCUAAUUCUUUUGUAUUGUUGGCCAGGCUGGUCUUGAACUCCUGACUUCAAGUGAUCCGCCUGCUUCGGCCUCCCAAAGUGCUGGGAUUACUGGCACAAGCCACUGCACCCAGCUAGGUAACAGAAUUUUAAAAGCUUUUUCUGUAUAUUUUGCAGCUUGUCCCACUCUGUCUUUCUCUAAAAAGACCUCAGUAAGAAAAUUAAUAUCCUUUUCCUAUUUGUUUUGCUCUUUAUAAUCCCGAAGUGAAUAAAGAUUUCCAUUGCUUUUCCCUGUUUAUUUUUUAUAAUUUCAAAAUGCCUUGUGUAGGAUGACAGUGAUUAUGAUUAUUAUCAAAUAGAAUUUACGUAACAAUAUCAGGAACUAUUCAGUUUCCUCUCUCAAACCCAUCCCUCUCUUUUUAUCCCUAAAACUCUUGCCCACCUUUAAUCUUCUGAGCUCUCCUUGAAUUAUUGCACCUGCCUCCUCCUGUCCUCACUAAACUCAGUGUUACUCCCUUCUCAUCUGUCACCUGCAAAAUAGCCAAUAAAGCUAGCACAAUUGGGCACAAUUUUUAAGGCAUUUGAAAAUUAAGGAUCCAGAGCAUGAAAACGGG